UCUACUUCCGGGACACGCCCACUUUAGCAAAGGUUUUCCCGGAAGCCUCCCAAAGGCUCCUGGAGGACGUCGGUUGCUGCUGUCUCCUCGCAGCACCGAGGUUUGGGCCUUAUUUUAGUUUUAAGCGCGGGCACCUGAGCCGGCUGGGGCGCUGAGGAACGCCUGCGGGAGGAGGGGGAGGGCGAAGUCCGAGGGGCUGGGGAGUCCCUUGGAGCUCGCGAGGGCCGAUCUGGAGCUACGCCGGGAGGGGCUUGGGCUGGACCUACGGGGGUCAGGGAGCGGAGGGCGCGUCAGAAGGGUGUCGAAGGCAAGAAUGGAUGGGACGCUGCGACGGACGUCCCCUGACCCACGAGUGUGGAGCACCCACUACGUGUUGGGCCCUGUCAGGCUCUGCCCUCGUGGACCCUCCAUUCUAGUGGGACGCAGCCAAACGAGGUGAAGGGACUGAGGCACAGAGAGGUCAUGUGCUCAAGGCUGACGGUACAGGGAGAUGCUGGGGCCCCGAGCUCCCUCCUUCUUCGUCACCGCAUCCACAGCUCCGAUGGUUUUAACUACCAGUGAAGGGCCCAUGGCCUGCACCAGGCACUGAGAGUGUCCUUUUUAUUUUUAUCAUAAGUAAAAAAAAAAACUGCAUUUCAUCGUAUUUUGCAUUUAAGUUGGGGAGUUCAUGUUUUUUAUAUUAAUACACACUUUUUGCGUAUUAAGACAAAGAGGUGAUGACUAUGCGAUUUAAAAACUGCAUAUGGAAUGAUGUGCACGCACUGUUUGAUGCUUUUAGGGUCACAUUAUGGAAGGGGGAGUCCGGCAACUGCUCGCAGGGCUUGGCUGAGCCCCAUGUUUGCACAUACAGGGGUGGCCUCUUCCACGGCAGCCUGUGUUUCGCUCUCUGGGGCCCAUCCAUUACACAACCAGCUCCCUUUAAUGAACAUAACUGGGGUUAUUUGCAGUUUUUAUCUUUUUCAAGUGAUGCUGCAAUGAACAUUCUUUCAUUUAUGUACUUGCACAUUUGUGAGGGUGUAUCUACUGGGUAAUUUACUGGAAUGAAGAUUUUGGUAAGUAUUGUCCAGUUGUUUUUUGUAAAGAUUACAUCAAUACAUAUUUCCACUAAGACUCUAUAAACAGGACAUGUCUCCAUCCCCUCCCCUCAUCCUUGCCAAUUUGCUAAAUCUUUUCCCAUUUAUAUGAAAAUGGGAAGUACUGACUUCUGCCCCCACUGGUCCCAAUCACCUUCCCUGAAGCUUUACCUUAGCAAGGGGAGGUAGCGUCUUGCUGCUUAUUCACAGUCCAGUGGUGUUUAUCUUCCUGUGAAUGCUGGUCACGUUCUUUGCUCAUUUUGCACUUGGACCUUUUUUGUGUGCAAGAGCUUUUUGUACAUUUAGGAAAUUUGCCAUUGGCGCUGGUACCGUAAACGGUUCAGACACAUCAGUCUCUUUCUUCUGGCUCUUAGAGUCUGUCAGAGCGAAAAGGUGCUCCCUCCACCCAACCUACAAAAACCGUUACUGUUUUACUAUGUUCAGUGUUCUGGUUCCUGGAGAAUUGGAGUAAGGACCGAGGCAGCGUCGUUGCUUUCUCAGUGGUCCAGUCAGCUGUCUCUGAACCACCGAGCGAACUCUCCCAUCUUUCCUCCACUCCUUCCACUUGGUGCCUUCAUCAUGAAUUCCGUGACGGUGAGACACAUGUGUCCACCCUGCUCUCUCCAUGGCAACACACUUUCAUGUCGGGGCUCAAUCCCUCUUGUGCCUCUGCUCUUCCAGUUUCCUGCUAUUUUUAUGUUUUUAUCUCCUAGGUAAACAUUAGAAUAAUUUGGUCCAGUCCCCAAAAAGAACUGUGGUGUUCCGAUUGGGGUCACUGAUUUUAUAGACUAAGGGAGAGUUAACAUCUUUACAUUAUUGAGGUUCUCUAAUUCAGAACAAGAGUUCUUUAGAGUUUUAAAACGUUUUCACGUAGGAACACGAAUCUUUUUUAGGACUCUUGAUACAUAUUACCUGUACUAGUUUUCAAUUACUGUCUAACAAAUCACCACAAAUUUAGUGGCUGGCUUAAAACAGUACCUGUAUUUGUCAUCUCCAAUUCUGUUGGUCCUAAGUCCAGGCUACGAUCCAGCUGUCAGCCAGACUGCAUCUUCUCUCGGGCCUGGGGCCUUCCAAACUCAUUCAGGCUGCUGGGUAGAGGUUCGUUCUUUAUGGGUGAGGGACUGACGUCCCUGCUUUCUUGCUGGCCGUUGGUAGAGGUUGCUCACAGCUCCUCUCACAAUGUGGCAGCUUAAAAAAAAUUUCUUUUGAGAUAUGAUUGACACGGUAGCUUCCUUCUUCACAGCCACCUGACACUGACUUUUUAAAAAAGGCUUCUCUGGUUAGGUCUGGCUGACCCAGAAUAAACUCCGUUUGAAGUCAAAACCAAUGGAUUACUAACGGGAUCACAGGAGUAACACCCAUCUUCUUCACAGGCCCCACCCACAUUCAAGGGGCAGACAGGGAUCUUGGGGCCUGAGAAUCCCGCCUACCACAUUACCAAGUUGUCUUCAGGAAAAUCGGUAUUUCCAUCAACAAUGUGUCAGAGCACUUGAUCUGUUGUGUGUUAUUCUUUGACCUUUCAUAUGAUGCAAAUAUUUUUUGACCUUACCAUUUGUUUUACGUUUGUUUGUAGAGGAUUUGGGGAGAUGUUUUACUUUUUAACGUAGUCAGAUUCUUCAGUUAUCUCUUUGUAAUGUCUUUGUUUUGACUCUUAGAAAGACGAUCCCCACUGAGGACUCAUAUUAAAAUGUACCUAUUUUUGUAGUCA